UUUGUCCAUCCCUGGAAUAGAUGUAUUAGUGAUCCCUGUAAUUGUCAGACAAGCCUAAUCUGUAAAUGGAAAUUACCUGACCUUCUGCUCUUUCCUGAUUAACAAAGUACUGUCCUCUGCAUUUCAGUUCCACUCGUCCAGCUUUAGGACUUCAGGACAGAAUCCUACAAUGAAGAACACAAUCUUCCAGGCCAAGAUACAGUUUCAUUGGGUGCUCUAGGGCAGAGCAAAAGAGAGGAAGAGGAAGAAGACAUGGAAGUGAGAAAGGGAAACAGGGAGUUUACUUCUUCCAAUCCAGUAAACCAAACAAACUCAAAAAACUUGAGAAAGAAUGAUUACAUGCCUUCAGCAGUCAUCAAAGUCCUGGAGUCACCGAGUGGAAUAGGAAAUGAACUGUAGUUCAGUGACCCUCUGUGGCCUGAACAGUGGGAGCUGCCAUGGCAAAAGGAGCCACUUUAUGUGUUACACAGUUGUUGGUGUCACUCAAAAGGAAUUGGACCAAAUCAACAGUAGAGCUCCC